CAGCCGCCGCGGUAAUACGAAGGGGGCUAGCGUUGCUCGGAAUGACUGGGCGUAAAGGGCGCGUAGGCGGCGGCCAAAGUCAGGCGUGAAAUUCCCGGGCUCAACCUGGGGGCUGCGUUUGAUACUUGGUUGCUUGAGUGGGGAAGAGGGUCGUGGAAUUCCCAGUGUAGAGGUGAAAUUCGUAGAUAUUCGGAAGAACACCAGUGGCGAAGGCGACUCGCUGGACAAGUAUUGACGCUGAGGUGCGAAAGCGUGGGGAGCAAACAGGAUUAGAUACCCCAGUAGUCCCUGUCUCUUAUAA
rnacentral:rRNA from 1 species